CAUCAGGAUGUAUUUGUAGAAGUCAGACCCUAAUUUAUGUGCGACUACUCAGCAGCAAAAUUACCACGUGCUGCAUGGACCUGAUACCCACAGCUCCCUGCUGCCAGCCACAUGUACAAUCCGUCUCCCUCACAUUGCUCUCUCUCUUUCUCUCUCUCCCUCACUUUCUCUCACUCUGACCCUGCGGCUCUCCCCUCUCUUCUUCUCCUUGAAUCCAUGGCAGCCUCUGGGCACCAGGCUAGAUCAAUGCAUUGGUGAACUGUAACCCAAUCACAUCGACCCUUCAUGUCUUGUGUAUUGGCUCGGUACCAAUAAGAAACACUGAGAAAGGCUGGGAGGAGGAUGAGAAGGUAUAAGGACACAAAAGAAGAAGAACAAAAAAAACACAUCUCACUCUUGACUGAACUCUUU
ensembl:lncRNA